rnacentral:rRNA from 1 species
GGGACACGUGGUAUCCUGUCUGAAUAUGGGGGGACCAUCCUCCAAGGCUAAAUACUCCUGACUGACCGAUAGUGAACCAGUACCGUGAGGGAAAGGCGAAAAGAACCCCGGCGAGGGGAGUGAAAAAGAACCUGAAACCGUGUACGUACAAGCAGUGGGAGCCUCUUAAUGGGGUGACUGCGUACCUUUUGUAUAAUGGGUCAGCGACUUAUAUUCUGUAGCAAGGUUAACCGAAUAGGGGAGCCGAAGGGAAACCGAGUCUUAACUGGGCGCUAAGUUGCAGGGUAUAGACCCGAAACCCGGUGAUCUAGCCAUGGGCAGGUUGAAGGUUGGGUAACACUAACUGGAGGACCGAACCGACUAAUGUUGAAAAAUUAGCGGAUGACUUGUGGCUGGGGGUGAAAGGCCAAUCAAACCGGGAGAUAGCUGGUUCUCCCCGAAAGCUAUUUAGGUAGCGCCUCGUGAAUUCAUCUCCGGGGGUAGAGCACUGUUUCGGCAAGGGGGUCAUCCCGACUUACCAACCCGAUGCAAACUGCGAAUACCGGAGAAUGUUAUCACGGGAGACACACGGCGGGUGCUAACGUCCGUCGUGAAGAGGGAAACAACCCAGACCGCCAGCUAAGGUCCCAAAGUCAUGGUUAAGUGGGAAACGAUGUGGGAAGGCCCAGACAGCCAGGAUGUUGGCUUAGAAGCAGCCAUCAUUUAAAGAAAGCGUAAUAGCUCACUGGUCGAGUCGGCCUGCGCGGAAGAUGUAACGGGGCUAAACCAUGCACCGAAGCUGCGGCAGCGACACUAUGUGUUGUUGGGUAGGGGAGCGUUCUGUAAGCCUGUGAAGGUGGCCUGUGAGGGUUGCUGGAGGUAUCAGAAGUGCGAAUGCUGACAUAAGUAACGAUAAAGCGGGUGAAAAGCCCGCUCGCCGGAAGACCAAGGGUUCCUGUCCAACGUUAAUCGGGGCAGGGUGAGUCGACCCCUAAGGCGAGGCCGAAAGGCGUAGUCGAUGGGAAACAGGUUAAUAUUCCUGUACUUGGUGUUACUGCGAAGGGGGGACGGAGAAGGCUAUGUUGGCCGGGCGACGGUUGUCCCGGUUUAAGCGUGUAGGCUGGUUUUCCAGGCAAAUCCGGAAAACCAAGGCUGAGGCGUGAUGACGAGGCACUACGGUGCUGAAGCGACAAAUGCCCUGCUUCCAGGAAAAGCCUCUAAGCAUCAGGUAACAUCAAAUCGUACCCCAAACCGACACAGGUGGUCAGGUAGAGAAUACCAAGGCGCUUGAGAGAACUCGGGUGAAGGAACUAGGCAAAAUGGUGCCGUAACUUCGGGAGAAGGCACGCUGAUAUGUAGGUGAAGCGACUUGCUCGUGGAGCUGAAAUCAGUCGAAGAUACCAGCUGGCUGCAACUGUUUAUUAAAAACACAGCACUGUGCAAACACGAAAGUGGACGUAUACGGUGUGACGCCUGCCCGGUGCCGGAAG